rnacentral:rRNA from 1 species
GGAAUCUUCCACAAUGGGCGCAAGCCUGAUGGAGCAACACCGCGUGAGUGAAGAAGGGUUUCGGCUCGUAAAACUCUGUUGUUAAAGAAGAACGUAUCUAAGAGUAACUGCUUAGGUAGUGACGGUAUUUAACCAGAAAGCCACGGCUAACUACGUGCCAGCAGCCGCGGUAAUACGUAGGUCCCGAGCGUUGUCCGGAUUUAUUGGGCGUAAAGCGAGCGCAGGCGGUUUAAUAAGUCUGAAGUUAAAGGCAGUGGCUUAACCAUUGUUCGCUUUGGAAACUGUUAGACUUGAGUGCAGAAGGGGAGAGUGGAAUUCCAUGUGUAGCGGUGAAAUGCGUAGAUAUAUGGAAGAACACCAGUGGCGAAGGCGGCUGUCUGGUCUGCAACUGACGCUGAGGCUCGAAAGCAUGGGUAGCGAACA